UACGUAGGGUGCGAGCGUUAAUCGGAAUUACUGGGCGUAAAGCGUGCGCAGGCGGUUUUGUAAGUCAGAUGUGAAAUCCCCGGGCUUAACCUGGGACUGCGUUUGAAACUACAAGGCUAGAGUGUGUCAGAGGGGGUAGAAUUCCACGUGUAGCAGUGAAAUGCGCAGAGAUGGGGAGGAAUACCGAUGGCGAAGGCAGCCCCCUGGGAUAACACUGACGCUCAUGCACGAAAGCGUGGGGAGCAAACAGG
rnacentral:rRNA from 1 species